AACAAAAGAGGAGAUGGAACUACUGAAGGGCUACACCGGAGAAAAGGAAAAGUUAGGAAAAUGUGAACAGUUUUUCUUAGAGUUAAUGCAAGUACCAAGAGUAGAAUCUAAGCUCAGAGUCUUCUCAUUUAAGAUGCAGUUUCAUUCCCAGGUUUCUGACCUUAGAAAGAUCCUGAAUGUGGUGAAUUCUACUGCAGAAGAGAUCAGGAAUUCGGUGAAAUUGAAAAGAAUCAUGCAGACUAUUCUUUCAUUAGGAAAUGCUUUAAACCAGGGAACUGCUAGGGGCUCCGCUAUUGGAUUUAGGUUGGAUAGUCUUCUCAAACUAACUGAGACACGAGCAAGGAAUAACAAGAUGACUCUCCUGCAUUAUCUUUGUAAGGUGCUUGUUGACAAAUUACCGGA
rnacentral:misc_RNA from 1 species